CGACCCGCACGAAAGGCGUAACGAGUGGAGCGCUGUCUCGACGAAGGACUCGGCGAAAUUGAAGUAUGCGUGAAAAUGCGUAUUCCCCGCAGCAGGACAAAAAGACCCUGUGGAGCUUUACUAUAGCCUGUCAUUGCGUUAGGGUGUUGUCUGUGUAGGAUAGCUGGGAGGCGAAGAAGGUGGUACGCUAGUAUCGCUGGAGCCAACGGUGAAAUACCAGCCUGAUGACAUCUUGACCCUAACCGACGUGUAACAGCACGCGAGACAGUGACUGGUGGGUAGUUUGACUGGGGCGGUCGC
rnacentral:rRNA from 14 species